rnacentral:rRNA from 1 species
AUUGAACGCUGGCGGCAUGCCUUACACAUGCAAGUCGAACGGUAACGGGCCUUCGGGUGCCGACGAGUGGCGAACGGGUGAGCAAUGUAUCGGAACGUACCUUUCAGUGGGGGAUAACGUAGCGAAAGUUACGCUAAUACCGCAUAUUCUGUGAGCAGGAAAGCAGGGGAUCGCAAGACCUUGCGCUGAUUGAGCGGCCGAUAUCAGAUUAGCUAGUUGGUGAGGUAAAGGCUCACCAAGGCGACGAUCUGUAGCGGGUCUGAGAGGAUGAUCCGCCACACUGGAACUGGGACACGGUUCAGACUCCUACGGGAGGCAGCAGUGGGGAAUUUUGGACAAUGGGGGCAACCCUGAUUCAGCCAUGCCGCGUGAGUGAAGAAGGCCUUCGGGUUGUAAAGCUCUUUCGGCCGGGAAGAAAUCGUAUCAGCUAAUACCUGGUGCGGAUGACGGUACCGGCAUAAGAAGCACCGGCUAACUACGUGCCAGCCGCCGCCGUAAGAC